rfam:Zootermopsis nevadensis contig12432, whole genome shotgun sequence.
GCCACGGUGGUCUAGCGGUUAGAACGCUGGCCUUGUAAUCCUGGGGUCUCGGGUUCGAUUCCCAGCGGUGCCC